rnacentral:misc_RNA from 1 species
GUAACAAGGUCUCCGUUGGUGAACCAGCGGAGGGAUCAUUACCGAGUUUACAACUCCCAAACCCUUAUGUGAACCGUACCUAUCGUUGCUUCGGCGGGAACGCCCCGGCGCCCUGCGCCCGGAUCCAGGCGCCCGCCGGAGACCCCAAACUCUUGUGUUUUUUUCAGUAUUCUCUGAGUGGCAAACGCAAAAAUAAAUCAAAACUUUUAACAACGGAUCUCUUGGCUCUGGCAUCGAUGAAGAACGCAGCGAAAUGCGAUAAGUAAUGUGAAUUGCAGAAUUCAGUGAAUCAUCGAAUCUUUGAACGCACAUUGCGCCCGUUAGCAUUCUAGCGGGCAUGCCUGUCCGAGCGUCAUUUCAACCCUCAGGGUCCCCGUUCCGGCGGGGAACCUGGUGUUGGGGAUCGGCCCGCCCCGCGCGGCGCCGUCCCCCAAAUUCAGUGGCGGUCUCGCUGCAGCCUCCCCUGCGUAGUAGUUACAACCUCGCAUCGGAGCUCAGCGCGGCCACGCCGUAAAACCCCCGACUUUCUGAACGUUGACCUCGGAUCAGGUAGGAAUACCCGCUGAACCUAAGCAUAUC